AUAAACAAAUAAGACCCUAUGGAACGUUAAUUCAUUAAUGCAAAUAAAAACUCAAACAAGCCUCCAGGCCCUAGCCUACUAUCCCUGCAUUAAAAAUUUUGGUUGGGGUGACCUCAGAAUAUAAUUCAACCUUGGAACAACCUAAACUAAGACCACAGUAGUAAGUUACCCUGAUGAUAACAGGGCAAUCCCAGAGUUCAUAUAGACGAUAGGGUUUAUGGCUGUGAUGUUGGAUCAGUACAUCCUAAUGGUAUAGCCACUAUUAAGGGUUCGUUUGUUCAGCGAUUAAAGUCCUAUAUGAUCUGAGUUCAGACCAGAGUAAUCCAAGUCGGUUUCUAGCUAU
rnacentral:ncRNA from 1 species